rnacentral:rRNA from 1 species
GUUAUAUGGUCAAGCGAAUAAGCGCACACGGUGGAUGCCUUGGCGGUCAGAGGCGAUGAAGGACGUGGCAGCCUGCGAAAAGUAUCGGGGAGCUGGCAACAAGCUUUGAUCCGGUAAUGUCCGAAUGGGGAAACCCACCCGCUUGCGGGUAUCCUGCAGUGAAUACAUAGCUGCUGGAAGCGAACCUGGUGAACUGAAAUAUCUAAGUAACCAGAGGAAAAGAAAUCAACCGAGAUUCCGUAAGUAGCGACGAGCGAACGCGGACUAGCCCUUAAGCUGAUUUGGUUCUAGGAAAACGCUCUGGAAAGAGCGGCCAUAGAAGGUGAUAGCCCUGUAUCUGAAAGGGCCAUUCCAGUGAAGACGAGUAGGGCGGGGCACGUGAAACCCUGUCUGAACAUGGGGGGACCAUCCUCCAAGGCUAAAUACUACUGAC